AACGAACGCUGGCGGCAGGCCUAACACAUGCAAGUAGAACGCUCUAGCAAUAGAGAGUGGCAGACGGGUGAGUAACGCGUGGGAACCUUCCCAAUGGUGCAGAAUAGCCCAGGGAAACUUGGGGUAAUACUGCAUAAGCCCUUCGGGGGAAAGAGUUAUCGCCAUUGGAUGGGCCCGCGUCGGAUUAGCUAGUUGGUGAGGUAAUGGCUCACCAAGGCAACGAUCGGUAGCUGGUUUGAGAGAAUGACCAGCCACACUGGGACUGAGACACGGCCCAGACUCCUACGGGAGGCAGCAGUGGGGAAUCUUGGACAAUGGGCGCAAGCCUGAUCCAGCCAUGCCGCGUGAGGUACGAAGGCCUUAGGGUUGUAAAGCUCUUUUGCCGGGGACGAUAAUGACGGUACCCGGAGAAUAAGUCCCGGCUAACUUCGUGCCAGCAGCCGCCGCCG
rnacentral:rRNA from 1 species